GGAGAGGUGUCCGAGUGGCUGAAGGAGCACGCUUGGAAAGCGUGUGUUUUGGAAACAGAACCGCGGGUUCGAAUCCCGCCCUCUCCGCCA
rnacentral:tRNA from 1 species